rnacentral:lncRNA from 1 species
AUGGGUAAACCAUGUUCAUGUGUUUACAAGCAGCUGUGUGGCUUUCAGCUGGUGACUUUGUGUGCGUUCAGACUGGCUGCAUCUGUUUGUGAAGUGAGAAGAGUGAUUCUGAGCAGGCAUAUGCUUGUGUGUGGGUCUCUGUGUGAGUAGUUUAUGUUUCCCUGGAUUUACAUCUCCCUAAACAGCACAGUUGCUGGUGUGAACUUUGCCAUUCAUAAGAAAAAUCCUAUCUCAAAGCUUCAUGAUGUGUGUCUGUAGGUCAAAGUAUAUAGAAAUGUAAAAUUUAAAUAUGGUUAAAAUCCUGAAAAAAAUCCUAUUACUAGCCAGGAAAAUAUCCACAGGAUUCUGAAAGGCAAAUAUGUUUUCAGAAUCAAUAUGAUGCUGUGAAUCAUGACUUUGGUUCAGGAUAGACCUCAACUCUGAGGAGCCUGUUUCAUUGCCCUCAGUGCACUCGGAUCAAUCCUCAUUAAAGAGAAACAUGCUUAAUGGUAUCUAAUUGGCCUCUGAGAAAGGGAAGCUGGUGGAAGUGAUGAAUUAUGGAGGGGUUGGCACAGCUUGUGGGGAUGGGGGCCACCCCAAUCCCUAGUACCUUCUCUCACACCUCUACUUCCUGAGGAAGACACAAAAUUUCUAUGCUAGGCUGUCAUCAGUAAUAACUUCAAUCCUUUCUCCUGAUCCUCCUCGUGUGGGGCCCAUACCGGUUUCGAGAUCCCACAGUCAUUGCUCUGUCAUACUUCACCAUUAAGGGAAAAGGCACUAAACAAAAGAGAAGGCAAAUGGUGAUGGAUAAUGAGCAGCUUCCCCCCAAGAUGUUGGGGCCAAGCCUCACUCUCACAUGCUCUCUUUCUCAAAUAUCAAAAAACAUUAAAACAAAAAAAGAAACCUAUCCCUCCUCUUGGCAAAAGUUACUGAUAACACAGUUUAUGUGUUAGUUGCAAUACAGAUCAUACUCAACCCAUUGGCAUGCAUAGUAAUGGACAGUCACAUUACCCUAGAUUUCCUGCUGGCUGGUCAUUGGGGCAUCUGUGCCAUUGCUAACACUUUUUGUGCUUGGAACAAUAAAGUAAGGUAGGCAGAACAGGCUAUGAAGUGCCUUAAGGAAGAAGCUAUUUGCUAUAAGUUUGAUCUGCGUGGUUUAUGGGAUUGGUUCUCUUGGCCUGGGUUGGGCAGUUGGAGUUCUGGCAUUGGAGUGCCUAACAUGGACUCUUAAUUGUUCUUGUUUGUUUCUUUGUUUGUUUCAUUGUGGUCAUGAUGCCGGUCCAUUGCAUUCUAUCUGGAGUCUUAAAUGCUUUCAUAUAAAUGUUCUCUCAUCAGAUGAUUGCCAUGAUGACAACUAAAUGGUCAAGAAUAUCUUCCAAGGCAGGUGACUCUGAAGAUGGCUGACAGUGUCCAGCAGCAAAGCAUGGGAUCUCAGGUUUUCUCUGAAUGGGCCAAUCUCUCAAAAGUGAGAUCAUAACCAAAAUGGGGGACUGAUAAUGAAAGAUACAAAUGGACAGUGGCCUGGCCAAAUAUAAAAAUAGGACUCUGACAUGAGGUCUGUAGCAACCAGCCCAGGAAAUCAACCUAUUGUCUACAGUUUCGUCAUAUUACCUAGAAGUCAGACGUGUAGAUGUCAGACCGCUCUCUCGAGCAAACAGCCCUGGAAGCUAAAUAAUAACCUCUGUAAUGAUUGGCCCCAGAUGGCCAGGACUUGAUUGUAACUGGGAGUACCCCUGAAUUUGUCCCUAUUGCAACUUAAAACCAGCAGAUAAAACCACAGAUGCACCCCUAACAAUGAUAUGGGAUGCCCUUCUUCUAGAACACUUACCACAGCUUCCUUAUGCCAGUAGUCUCCUGUGUCACUGAAACCUCGUCUUCUGUCUCUACUAGGUUUCCCUACUCUUCUUUCCAUCUCUGAGUCUGCCCAAAUGCAAGGGAUAGUGGCUGACUCCCUUGCUCUAGCAAAUUUUGAAGAAAUCAUCUUUAUGUAUUAUCAUCUGUCUCAU